rnacentral:rRNA from 1 species
UACGUAGGGGGCAAGCGUUGUCCGGAAUCAUUGGGCGUAAAGAGCGUGUAGGCGGCCAGAAAAGUCCGCUGUGAAAACUCGAGGCUCAACUUCGAGCUGUCGGUGGAAACUUUCUGGCUAGAGUCCGGAAGGGGAGAAUGGAAUUCCUGGUGUAGCGGUGAAAUGCGCAGAUAUCAGGAAGAACACCCGUGGCGAAGGCGGUUCUCUGGGACGGUACUGACGCUGAGACGCGAAAGCGUGGGGAGCGAACAGG